rnacentral:rRNA from 1 species
UACGGAGGGGGCUAGCGUUGUUCGGAAUUACUGGGCGUAAAGCGCGUGUAGGCUGCAAUGUAAGUCGGAUGUGAAAGCCCUUGGCUCAACCAAGGAAGUGCAUCUGAUACUGCAUCGCUUGAGUGUCGGAGGGGAUGGCGGAAUUCCCGGUGUAGAGGUGAAAUUCGUAGAUAUCGGGAGGAACACCUGUGGCGAAGGCGGCCAUCUGGACGAUAACUGACGCUGAGACGCGAAAGCGUGGGUAGCAAACAGG